ACGGAGGAAGAGGAGGAAGAAGCGGCAGCGACAGCAGCAGGGGUGGUGCCAUGGGUAGAGACUGGUCCAGCAGCAAAUGACACAGAGAGGAAGGAUGAAACAAAUCCAAGUACAGUUAACCCUCUUUACAACCCCGGACGUACCCCUGACUGUGAGGGAGCUUCAACAACUGAGACACACAACUCCAGGGGGUCCCUCCCCGUCUCUCCUUCUGCUUAUCAUGCCUUUCAUCUCCAUCACCCGCUCGCUCCCUUCCUCAGUCUCCCUCAAUUACGACUGCCAAGGAAGUAGGGGAGGAGGACAAUGGAGAGCUGUGGACUUCAGUUACACCCUCUGAGCCCUUUGCGUCGAGGGAAACACGGCUACUGAACAACUGAACUGUAAAGAAUAUGAAAAGGAGGAGAUUCGAGAAGGUCACACCUCCAUCACAGCCAAGAAGAAAAGCUACCAGAACAGCAGCUGUCUGCUCGUCAGGGCUGUGUAUAUAUGUGUGUGUGUUUUGCUGCAUGUGUGGUUCUUUGAUGGCGUUAAUGUGUGAAGAAAUAAGUGUGCGGAAACCGACUUCACGCAUCUGAAGAUGUCUCGCUCUAUGUCAGCCGUCCGUCGUUGAGGAGAGCAAAAUAUGUGUUUAAGAAAGCCAGUGUGAAGCCCCGAUGGGGCGGGAAACAGUAGUUUUGUAUGUCUGAGUUUCUGUAGGGACACGAUCAAGUGGGCUGUCACUGCAGUGACUCAUCUUGUAGGAAGUCCCUUUCUGCCGCAUCAAAAAAGUAGAGGAAAAAACCCAAAUGGAAAACUUCAAAGUAGCUGAUAACAAACUCUAGUAAAAGAACUGAAAGGCCUCCAUUCACCUUCUUCCUGCUUCCAUCCCUCCCCUCUCUUUUUCUUGCUCUCACCUGUGAAAAGCCCUGAUUAACAGCCCCAGAUUGGUGACCUUAAUUUGCACCCUGUCUCCACAGAGUAACGUGUCUCUUUCAUCCCCGAGAGAUUUCAGAAAAGUGCAGUGGGGUCUGGCUGCUCUGUCAUUCAUUCGCUGUCAUUCAGCUGCCGUUGCUUCCCCGGUUACGCAGAAUAAAAAAUAGGAAAUUGUCGCCGCUGUCACUGAAAUUGAUAUAUUGACGAACACUGGGCUUGAGGACACGGGGAAGCUGCGCGGUGUGCGAUCUAGAGAGGAUAGAGUGACGCUGGUAAUUGUCCUCCAGUGUGAUCACUUGUUUGUGUUGAAUUUGAAGAAUUAGUUUCAAUUAACAUCUCCAUUGAAUCAGCAGUGUUUUUUUGUGAUUGCAUAAUAGAUAUUCUGUUUUUUUUUCAUGGCCCCAAAGCUCAUAAAACAAAUGAAAAACGAUGGCAUCUUUGAUCAUUUGUUCAUUUCCACUGUAACACAGCCUGGCAUCAGUACGAGAACAAAACAAAAAAAAACAUUGUCGAACAGCAUCUGAAACCCCCUCACCUCACACCUUUCUGACGUGACAAUCAGGAGGUGCUGCAUCUGAAAAUUUUUGUAACUUUCUGGAACCGACAAUCACUCCCAUCUCACACAAAUUGGUCAGGUGUGCGGAGGUGAGAAAGUAAGCAGGGUUUGUGCUUCUCUCUUGAGCUCUCUUUCUCUUUUUCACUCACAGAUAUUUCUGUCACUUUUUUUUUUUAUUUACAACUGAGUGCAGCACGAACUCCUUUUGAGGAGAGGAGACUGUGAGUUUGACUGUGUGCACCCUUAUCCUCAUUUGUAUGAUCCAUCAUGCCUUUCCUUCCACACUGCAUUGUGACAUGGUCCAGACAACACUUUGCAAUAACUAGUUUCGAGCAUACCGCAGCCAUUACAUCCUGAGAC